rnacentral:rRNA from 1 species
CCUACGGGCGGCAGCAGUGGGGAAUAUUGCACAAUGGGGGAAACCCUGAUGCAGUGACGCCGCGUAUAGGAAGAAGGUUCUCGGAUUGUAAACCAUUGUCGGUAGGGAAGAAAAAAGACGGUACCUAAGGAGGAAGCCCGGGCAAACUAUGUGCCAGAAGCCCGGGUAAUACAUAGGGGGCAGGCGUUAUCGGGAAUUCUUGGGUGUAAAGGGUGCGUAGACGGAAGAACAAGGUGGUUGUGAAAGCCCGCGGCUCAACCGAGGAACUGCAACCAAAACAAGUCUCCGUGAGUGUUGGAGAGGAAAGCGGAAGUCCUAGUGUAGCGGUGAAAUGCGUAGAUAUUAGGAGGAACACCAGUGGCGAAGGCGACUUUCUGGACGAUAACUGACGUUGAGGCACGAAAGUGUGGGGAGCAAACAGGAUUAGAUACCCUUGUAGUC